AGGAAUGGGAGGAAAACAUCUGUAUCAUUCCUUCUUCAAUAGUAUGAGUCCUAGGGCCUCACUACAAAGCCCACCUGAAGUGAAACCCUACAGGUGUGAGCCCAGACCUGCCUGAAAGAUGCCUUAGAGGCAGCCUCCUCUAUCCCUGCCCCUUCCCACCCCCUGCCAGCUCUAAAUUCCAACUUCAGCUCGGAGCUAAGGAUAUAAGAAACUGCGAUCGGAAGGUAUCCAGAAGAACAGAGAAGCAGCUUUGGACAGAACCCUCGGGAAGGAUAGCAAGCUUCAGAUGCCCACCCUGCUCCAAGCUCAGCCUCGGGGGCAGAUGGCAAGAUGUCCCAAUCCUCAGCCCCAGGGCGUGGGGACUUUGGAAACAUACCUUCCUGGAGAGAUGUCUCAGUGGCGACUUGACACAGUUGCCCAUCCUAAGUUGAGGCAGCCCCUCUCAGGAUCCCUGGGUCCAUGAAGAAGGCUCCUUGGGGACUAGAAGACCUCAGUCCAGGUAACCGCCAACCCCAGCCUCCCUCUGCCUGUGUCGCUUUCCUCCAGGACUGAGCUGAGCCCUCUCCCUUGUGCGCGUGCUCUCUUACUCGUCUGCCUGUUCUUGCUCUCUGAUUUUUUUGGGGUGGGGUGGGGAGGUGGAUUUUAUGUGUGUUUGUGUGUCUGGGUUUAACUUUCUGGGCACUUUCUUAAGGAGACAAAGGCAGAAGAGGAGAGUGCAGUGUAUAGAGAAAGUCUCCUGGAGAGCUGACGGCAGAGGGCAGCUGAGCUGAGACGCCUGUGGGAUCAUCUACAUCAGAUUAGAGCCGAGUCCGCUGUCUGCUUCUUUCCCCUUCCCUCUGCCCCCUCCUUUCCCAGCUGCCAAAUCUGCCGGGAGAUUGCCUCAGGGAGGGGACCCAGGGUGGCAGCUGCAGCUGGGAAUUAGGCCAGCUGAUUCAGAAGGAGAAGCUGGCUAGUUGGGUCCCCAAAAGCCAGGGUGCCUCAUAGCUUGCAAUCCUGUGUGCACACACUGACCACACACACACACACACACACACACACACACACACGCCACACACAUGCAUGCACACACAAGCCCCCAGGGAGAUGUAGGCCUCCUUCGAAGAGCAGUGAGCUGGACAGGCAAGCAUCCUCAUUGGCCUCUGGCAAUUCCAGCUGGAUGGAGAGCAGGCGGCUGCAGUUAAGGGCCUGGGAGAUCUGGUGACGUCUCUAUUACGCUCCAUUUUUCACACUUGCCUCAUCAUUGAACUGGGAAGAGGCUCGGAGGCUGGCAGCAGAGCUGAUCUGACAGCUGAGACGGCCCUGAGGAGACAGGAUGGAGGCCAGGCUUGCAGAGGGUGUGGGCAAGGUCUCUGGACCUUCUCCUCAUGCUCUGCCUAAUCCUGAGUGAGGAUCUUCUAUCGGCUUUCCUGUGGUGCAGAGGACCUUUAUCAAUGGCCCUCGAGGUCUCACAGCUGCAACUUUAUACGUGGUCAUUCUUCCUCAUCCCUCUAGGUUCUGGCUUUGAUGUGAAUUCAUCUCAAGCCUCAGAUAGCCUAUUUGAGACCCACAGUGGCAGCCAGAUAACCAGAGACAGGAAGCAUCUGUUUCCCUUCUCCAUUUUUGCCCAGCAGGGGGCACCAGAGAUAACAGGGAGGAGACCACCUCCCAAACUCCUGAUGCAGCCAAGUCUUUUAAACUUGCAGUUCAGAGUUUCAGCCCACACUGGCUCCAGUCUCAGAGGUGUUUCUCCAGUUUGGGUGGCUGGUGGGAAAUCCCUCAAGGGAAGGUGGCUGGGGAACUGCCCAGGGGGUUACACAGGCUCACUCCUAGGAGACAGGGAGGAGGUUCCCGGGUGGCUCUUGAUGGUCAGCAGCCACUGCUGGUCUGGGAACGGUUUAACUGGGCACUCACUCAGCAGCCUUGUUUGGGCCAAACCUCCAAAGGAGGAGAUGGAAAUGGAAGGCACAGCCCCGAUGCUUAAAGAACUGGACAGAGGUGAUGACGCCAGGGAGCAGAAACGGGAAGAGCAAGCCGCCAGCAUAAAUGCCCUCUUCAAAGACUUCUUGUGAAAACAGAGCAUGAAGGAAGCACUCUGCAGGCCUACACCGGGUCAAGUUCAAUAGGCUCUGAUGAAUGGGAAGGACGAGGGGGGUGAGUUCUGCCUGCGGGUGAUUGCCACCCAUUCCUGAGCUUCCCAUUUCUCCAGUGGAAAAUGGGGCUUCCCCUAUCUUGCUAAUAAAGUGUACACAGGGAAGAGUGUGGCACGUCACAGGGACCUGAUAAGUAAUUAUUCAAAUGGAAGAGAGCUGUAUCAGUUGCUCAUUGUUUAUGUGCCAUGCCCUGCGCUUGACCCUGGGACUGCUGUGGGGACCACGUAAACAUGGUGCUGCCUUGAGGGUGUUUAUACACCAGCAGGUGGGUACCAGAUAGUAAAGGAGCUAUGGGCCCAGUUAUUUUCACAGCAUCUCAGAUAAAUACUACCAAGGGAAACACAAGAACUCUAAAACUACAAGAUAGGGGAAUCUGACAGUCUGGGGGAAUCAGGAAAGACAUAUAGAGAAAAUCUUAGAAAAGAAACAAGGUGGGUGAUAUAUGCCUAUGGCCCUGGCUACUCAGAAGGCUGAGGCAGGAAGAUCGAAUUUGACACCAACCUGGGCAAACUUGAGCCUUUCUCAAAAUUUAAAAAUUAAAACUUAAAAAAAAAAUGAAAAGGGUUGACAAUGUAGCUCUGGGUUUGAGCUGAAAAAACAAAAAAGAGAAAAGAAGAAAAGAUAAGAUGAGAAAAGAAGAAAAAGAAAAGAAAACGCCAUUCACAUUAAGUAAACAGGUGGAGGCAGGUAGAGGCAGCAGAGCAUCAGUCAUGGUUUUCAGCGCUGGCUGUAGACUAGGAUCGCAUGGGUCUUUACUAGAAAUUCUGAUUUAGGGCUGGGGGUUAGUUUAGUGCCUGCCGUGGCAAGCACGAGGUUGUGAGUUUAAUCCCCAUUACAAAAAAAAAAAAAAAAAGAAGAAGAAGAAAGAAAAGAAAAAGAAAAAAAAAAGAAAGAAAGAAAGAAGAAAAGAAAAAGAAAAAAAUCUGGUUUAAUAGAUCUACAUGGACUCGAGACACUAUCUAGUCAGGGAAUUUAAACCUGCAUAUGGUGAGAAUCAUUGAAAUAGAGGUUCAGAGCUUGGCAUACAAUCAGACUAACUUGGGCUCAAAUCUUGCCCUGCUGCUUAGUUAACUGUGCGACCUUGAGGACAUGGUGGUCUUUCUGAACUUCAGUUUCUUCAUUUAUAAAAUGGGGAUUCCAGCAAUGCCUUAGGGAGCUCACCAGGGUCAAUGGGAUAAUUUGUGUAGAAGGUUUGGCACAGUGCCAGCCACUUAGACAAGAGCCCCUCCCGUUUGAUCAGCGUCUUAAAGGGCUCCAUGCAGCAUUCGUCCAUCCAGCAUCCACUCAGACCUGGUGAGUCCUGCCCUCUGCAGGUCAUACCAGGUCACAGCAUCAGCCUGUCGACCUUGGAUAUGCCUCUGUCCUUGGAAACCCGAGACUGCAGACAGCAAAAUCGGGUCCCUUAUGGAAAAACCAAGUGCUUGAAGAAACCAACUACUGCUGCAGUGAGAUGGGCUGACACUGACUGAGGUUUAAGGGCAAAAGAGAUCCAAGAAUUCAGAUCUGGGGCUUCACAGCUUCGGCUAACCUCAGCAGGGCAGUGGUCAAGGUGGGGCAGAUGGCUUGACCAUCAAUAGGAAAUAAAACAGGGAUGUUGGGUGGGGGCUUCCCCAAGGAAUAAAGCAGAUCACACAUGCACCCCCUCACAAUCCUUAGUCACUGAGCCACAGUCCCUGGGCCUCCGCAAGCCAUACUUUUAGAGUUAUAGAAUAAUAGGAUCAGGCGGAUGAGAAGGAUAAACCCGUGGCCGAUUAUUCCUGAUUAGGAUGGAGCUGGCCUUCAGUGCUAUAUCAGUUCUACCACCAGCACUGGAACCUGGAUAACAGCCCGGUCACUUGGAUAACAGCUAAGACACUUGGGGAAAGCUAGGUCUUAACGUGAGAGGUGCUUUGUAGAUGCUUCUGACAAACGGAGAACACAUGUAAGUGGCUUUUGACCAAACCAGCUCAGUGCAGCAUAGGCAGGUGUGUUUGGGGACAGGCAGUCCUGCCAUUAUGUACUGUGUGAUCUUUGGAGAACUCACUCCCGUCUCUUGAGCCCAUUUCCUGAUUUCUAAAUUGAGGGGUGGCAAUGCCACUCUAAGCACACUGUUGUUAACACAGUGAGAAGAGAUUUGGACAGUCGUUCAGUGGGCUCUAAACUCAGGUCUCCGGUUCCUUGGCUGCUUCCCAGAAAAUGCAGACAUCAUGGAAAACGCCUACCCAACUGACAAAAGCCACUACUGUCACCUGUGAUUGACGCUAUUGACCUUCUCUUUCCCUUCCCAACUCCUGAAGCAAAAGCAACAGAGGAGGCUUGGCCAGAGCAGGAAUGAGGAAUAUAUAUAGCCCUUCUCCUAGGAACACAGGCCAGGUGUUGGGGAGUCCAUUAGGACCCAAACAAGCAGCAGGACUCUCUCCCAAUUUAAACCACAGGAACCAGGAAACUUUAAAGUCCUGAUGUGGUGAUACCAUUUACUUUUUCACAUAAUACUGACAUCCUGCUGUGUGGAAACUAGGCUAUAGUAUCCAAAUCAGAAACAAUGUCUCUACAGCUGGGAAAAGGGAAAAGGCAGGACAAACCUAUGGGCUGUAUUCAUACCUGCUUCCUCUACCAAGGGAUAUUUUUUCUCAAUCUUAGAGUAAGAGUAGAAAGCCUGUUUAUGAAAUAAUCCAAGAUGUAAACCUUCAAAUCACUCCUACUCUGAGUUAAUUUCUCUCCCUGUUUUCCUCUUCUUUUUUUCUUUUUUUAAGUGAAGAUUGAACCUAGGACCUUUGUACUAAACUAUAUCAUCAGGCAUUUAAUUUAUUUUAUUUUGAGACAGGAUCUCACUGAAUUGCCAAUGCUAGGCUCAAAUUUGUGAUCUUCCUGCCUCAGCCUCCAAGAACGCUGAGAUUACAAGCAUAUGCCAACAUGCCUGGCUUUACUCUCUGACUUAAUUCCUGACAACAGCAACAAAUUGUUUCUCCAGGAGACUGGGCAUGUCCUUCAUGGGCAACAGAGGGGGAAUUAGGGAUGAUCCUUUGAUGUUGAGCUCCUUGCUUUAAUUACCUUCCUUAUUCACUUAGGGGCAGCUUUCAAAAUACUUUACACAGACCCUUCUCUAGACAAUUACUGUAUCAAUGAUAGCAAUAAUAUUAAUGAAUCCUGCCCCUUAUCCAGCACCCUCCAUGAAUCAGGUAUUUAAUAUCCUUAAUUGUGGGUAAUUCUUUUAAUAACUCUGCAAGGUAGUUUUUGUUGAUCUCAUUUCUAGAUGAAGAUACCAAGACCAGAAGGAAAAAAAUGACAUGCCAAGGUCAUACAGAAGACAGAAAGUGACACAGCUGUGAUUGGAACAUGAAGUUCUGCUAUCAUUCAAGCCAUGGUUCUAUGCCUUGGCCCCAAAAUCCUACUGUCUUCCUUCAGGCUGUAAGCAUAUCUCAUGAGGUCACAGUAGAAUCUUAAGCUCUGUCCUCCCUAGGUAGAAUCUAAUUUAGUACUUCUGAUGUCACUCUGAACCUGGCUGUCCCUGACUCCAUCACAAACAGAAAGAAGAUGCCCUUGGUAAGCUGAAUCAAGAAACAAAAAUAAUAACACACACUGAUAGAGUUGUCCUCUGCCAUGCAUUGGGCCAGGCUCUCUAUCACCAUAACUCAUUUAACUUUCCAAAGAGAACCUUGAAAUGUAGUUUAGGCUGGCCCCAAACUUGUGAUCCUCCUUCCUCAGCCUCCCGAGACAUGCAUUACAAUGUCUGGCUCCAGACUCUUCUUGAGGUACUAGGAGUGACCCUAUUUUGAAAGUUUUUUUUUUAAAAAAAAGAGCUUUAAUUCAAUCAAGGGAUACAGAUAAGGUUUUUUGGUUUGUUUUUUUUUUUUUUUUUUUUUUUUUUUGGUACUGGGAAUCACAACCUUAUGCUUGCUAGGCAGGCACUGCGUUGCUGAGCUAUAUCCUAAGCCAUAGGUUUUUGAUUUGUUUUUGUUUUUUCAGAACCAGGUAUUGAACCCAGGACCAUGUGCUUGCUUGCCAAACAGGCACCAUUCAUGGACUAUACCCUCAGCCCCCAUAAGAGGUUUCAAAAAGAGAAAAAAAUAAAAAAAAAUUAAGAAAGAGAAAAAGAAAGAACUAGAACUUGAGGAAGUUUCCUCAGGGAUAUUUCGCCCUAAACAGAUCCCACCUGAAAGUUCCUGUAGUCAGAACCUUACUUUCCUCCUAUUGGUUCCAUCCUGUCUUUGAAGACAAAAAUCUCAAUGCACAGAACAGAGAAAAGGAAAGACUAAUUCCUCUGUCACAGACCAGAGGCUCUGACACAAAAAAUCCCAGGCUGGGUUUGUCAGUUCGUUGCUGUUGUUGUUCAAACAGUGCCUCAGAGGUGUCAGCAGGAAGCCCAAACUAAAUGGGCUUUAAAGAAAAAACCGCAGCUCCCAGACGCACUCCAGAGGGAGGUAGUAAAUAUUUGAUGGGACCUUCCAUCUCCUCCUGACUCAGGUGACCUCAGUGACAUUUCAGAACAUAAGGCUGGAGAAUCUUCUUCCUUUAAUGACUGGGAAAUUAGGAGGAGAAACAAAAGCACGAAGCUGCAAACCUCUGAGCUCAUAAAGGGGCUGCGAAGGUGAAUUCUCCAAGAACUAGAAGCAAGGACUUAUUUUCUAAGAGUAAGAUCACCAGCAAACUGAUAAGCCAAGAAGUGUGUGAUGCUGGGCCUUCCAUACUGUGUUAGAUCAUUAGCCUCCCAAACAGCCAGAAUCCUUGCUAUCGUGUUUACUGUUGUCUCCUUAGUGUACAGAAAAUGCCUGGGCAGAGUAGGUGUUCAAGAAAUAUUUGACAGAUGAGUGAACUGCAGUCACCCAUUCAACAACAACACAGCAUAUUUGUCGCAACCUGGUUCCUACCCACAGAUCAUUCUUCCCCUCACACUCUGCGUAUACCUCUUCGCUAACACAGGAGCCACUGCAGUGAACUUCUCCCUCGGCAUGUUGCCACACUAACUCUCAGAGCUCUGCAUCCAAAUCUGUACUCCGGAGAACUGUUUCCAGCUCACCCGGCUAAUGAGGGCUCCCUGCAGGAACAAAGCCACACGCUGCUGCCCUGUCACACCACCACAGCAGCCCCGUGCAACCCGAAUCCAUGUGCAGCUGCCUUCAUGUCAGACCUCCACUGACAUCAGCCACUGCGGAGUAGUAUUUUGAAAAGAUUUGUGCAGAUCUGAAGCAAAACACGCACGGCCUCUUUCCAACGCUGAUCCAGCACAGCAAGCCAGGAGCUUGAGACAGCUUCUCUGCACUAGAUCUUAGCAAGGAAUGCUCAGGCCCUGUGUCCCCCACAAACAAAGCAACACUCUGACCAGACUUCGGUAUUACACUCCUCUUUGGCUGCAAAACUGUCUCAACGUGGUGCCAACGAGUUUGACUUGGUUACACUCUGAACUAGAGGAAACCCAGGCUUUGUUCAGGACUUCAUAGGUUCCUGUCUCCCCCGAGGCAGUGUCCCAAACUAUAGACCUCCAUGAUGACCACAGAGCUGUUUGUAAAGGGGAGCUGUCCAGAUGCCUGGACCCUUGAGAGAAAGGGCUGGAGGAAACAAAAGGAGCCACUGAUGAUCUCUUUGUGGCCUCUUUGACUCUCGAAGGCACAGCAACUCAGGCUAGGGCUCUCUGGGUGUUAUUCCAUGCCCUACAACUCCACAGCUGCCCUCCUGCCAUCCUAACAGCACACCUGCAGUGUCAAUCCCAAAAAAACACUCCUAAGUUCCAGUUUGAGCCCUAACUCUGCCUACACAGCAACUCGUGAGUGACCAGACACCUCUUUCCUCGUAUUUUUGAACCCUAUAACUUUCCCCAGCUUUUGGGGGACACUCCAAGCAAGCCUGUGUUCCCUAAGGUUAUCCCAGACUCCAAAGACCCUGCUCUCUUGAGUCACUCUCUGUGCCGGCCACCGGUCAGAGGUGUGGGUUUGGCGCCAUCUGCUUGGAGCACCCCUCUGACCUCAAGUCUCCUUAAGGGUCGUGGGGUUGCUCCCUUCUGGACGGCGGCUUCUAGCAAGAGUGAAGAGGGCUGGGCGGCGGUGCCUCGCCUAGGAGAGGCCCGAGCAUGGACAGCGCACAGGGUGCUGAAUCAGACACGGGGGUGGAAGAGCGCCGGAGGAGGGCAGGCAUCUACAAUUAAUCUUGGGAUGAGAGCCGAAGGCAAGGAGCCAGUGGUGCCUGAGAAUGCUAAAGAGCAAAUGGAUCCAGAGAAACAAAUGCCAGUGAGGGACCCCACCGCAGAGACAGCACGGUGAGCCACUCUCCUGUUACCACGAGGCUUGUGAGGCGUGUGUGCGGGUCUCUGCAUUGGCACCAUCUGCCAAUUCCUCAGGAGGACAGAACAAACCAGCGAGGCAUGAAGAUUAGAUUAUGUAACGCUCGAGGAUUGCUGUUUUCAAAGAGGAAACAAAUGGAACGAAUUGAUUUGCCUGUCAAAGUCAUGUCACCAAAGGAGACCCGUCAUUCCCUCCUCUUCUGAGUGGACCUCAUUAAAGAGGAGAAUGAUUUCACAGACUCAGAAAAUGUGAGGCCGAAAUCCACUCCAUUCAUAAGCGCAGGUCCAGGUUCCAGAGUUGCACUGACGAUUCCUAUUCUGGUCUCCCUACUUGAAAAAUGACUAUUCAGCUACUACCUAAAGGUCACCGACAUGGCAAGGAACAUAAUUGCCAGUUGCCAGCCCCAAGAUUUGGAAUCUCUGUGUUUUGUCCAAACCCUUGCUUCUGGGGAAGCAGCAUCUAAUUUGGGGGCCAAUGGAAUCAUAUUUACUGUUCAGGCUCUAAACAAGUGCUUUGGCGGGGGAGGGGGGGCUGUCCUUUAAAACAUAUGCAUCAGGAAGGAGAAUGUGAUGCAUCUCUGGAUUCUUUUGCUGUUGCUGGAUUUUUUUUUUUUUUUGUAGUAUUUACAGUGGAUCUGACACACGAAUGAGUGAGAACCGUGAACCUGAACCUGCUGCCAUCGUUUCAUUCCUAAAGCUUUCUCUGCCUUGCUGAUACACCAAGACUGAAAUAUCAAGUCUUUAUUCAACAUGUAAAUGAAAGCUGCUGUGCCAGAUAUUUUCAUUCGCCCCUCCAGAUCCACUUCUCUGUCCUGCUCUUCGCCCUGAGGUGCUGACUUAAACGAACUCCAUCAUCUCACGCCCUGGCCCUGCAGCUUUCAGUUGGGCACAGUGGAGGGGAGGCAGGCGCAGGAGACUGAAGGACAGAAGGAGGGUAAGGCCGAAGUCUCUAGACCCAUGGCUCCCUCCCCGCCAGAUUGCCUUAGGGUGGCUGUGUCUUUUGCUAAAAGGUCACCUCUCUUUCUCAAAGCAGCCCUUUCCACAUAACCCUUUCCUUCUGGGAUCUGUUAACUCCUGUCUCCUCUCAACCUUCUGAUCUAAAGGUGAUAAAGGCUGUUAGUAGCCCCCUUGGAUACCACACGUAUUCUUAUGGUUUCUCAGUGUCCUGCUCAAACCUUGUAAAUAGGCCUUUAUUAAAUCCUCGUGUAAUUAUCUAA